UUCUCACUGGCUUCUCUGGCCCCACCUGAAAUACAUACACAAGCUUUGAAUAUAUUUCUUGGGUUGUCCUUCCAGCCCUCUGUCCCAUCAGGUCUGAAUAUCCCCCUGCAUGUGCCACACAUGUCAGAGCAGUUGGCCACAAAUGGAACAGGGGUACAAACAGCAAAACUUUUGCCUUGCAGCUGCAGGAGCACACAGGAGUGGCUUUGCAAGGCGGCCCAGAAGUGCUUGAACUAGAUACUGCAUUUCUGCCUCCUCAAAAACAAUUUCAUUGCAUUCAAAGAGAGCAUGGUGAGCUAAGCUUGUGUUUUUCUGAAAACCAUCUCUUUUUGACUGUCCUGAUCUGAUGAGCCAAAGGUCACUAGCAAACCCAUUUUGUUCACCAUCACUUCAGUGCAUAACAACACUGGUAAAACCUGACAAAGAAUCACAGCAAAGAAAAUUCAUCCUGAAGAUGUCUAGGAUUAUCAGAUAUUGCUAGUAUCAACAAAUGAGCGCAUCCAAGGGUGAAUAUGGCAUAAGCACCCUUGUCUUCAGCAGAUUGGACAUGGUGCGGUGAAGAGGACAAGGAGGAAAAGCAUCUCUAUUACAGAUGAGAGGAGGACUUAAG